rnacentral:rRNA from 1 species
CAGUAGCCGCGGUAAUACGAAGGGUGCAAGCGUUAAUCGGAAUUACUGGGCGUAAAGCGCGCGUAGGUGGUUCAGUAAGUUGGAAGUGAAAUCCCCGGGCUCAACCUGGGAACUGCUUUCAAAACUGCUGAGCUAGAGUACGGUAGAAGGUGGUGGAAUUUCCUGUGUAGCGGUGAAAUGCGUAGAUAUAGGAAGGAACACCAGUGGCGAAGGCGACCACCUGGACUGAUACUGACACUGAGGUGCGAAAGCGUGGGGAGCAAACUGGAUUAGAGACCCGUGUAGUCCCUGUCUCUUAUAC